AACGUAGGUGGCGAGCGUUGUCCGGAAUUAUUGGGUGUAAAGGGAGCUCAGGCGGAAUGGCAAUUUGGAUGUGAAAUCCCGGGGCUCAACCCCGGAACUGCAUUCAAAACUGCUGUUCUUGAGUGAUGUAGAGGCAGGCGGAAUUCCCGGUGUAGCGGUGGAAUGCGUAGAUAUCGGGAGGAACACCAGUGGCGAAGGCGGCCUGCUGGGCAUUUACUGACGCUGAGGCUCGAAAGUGUGGGGAGCAAACAGG
rnacentral:rRNA from 1 species